rnacentral:lncRNA from 1 species
AAGAAAGAUUAAGUUCUCAUCAGAAAACUCCAAUUCAUCUGUUUUAUGUAUAUGUGGGUACAAACAGAGUGACUUCUAAAAAGGUCGGCCUCCUGCAGCUGCUCCAGGUAAAAGAGUAUGUGGGACAAAACGACCUGAGAACAUGAGGCUCAGCCCCUGCUUCUCUGUCGGAAGGAGUGGUGGAGACGAUCAGACCAUUUCACU